UACAUUACUCAGCUAGGUUGAGGAGAAAAAUACAAACCAUUGACAGCUACAUUGAUAGCUACAAUGAUAGUCUAGAUGUGGUAUGGGACUCCAGAUGGAAGUACUGAAGAUUAAACAGAUGUUGGAAGGUGAAGAGAUGGGAGGGGAGAAUGAUGUACUGUUUAACUUAACAACCUGGAUCUGACUAUGUAGGUCAAGUAUUGACCCCAACCUACUGCAGCUAUUUUGGACAAGUUCGAACCUACAUUUCUUCACAGUCUUCUUAUACGAAGAACGGCGCUAAGUGCUGCUGCAUACAAAUUUGUGAGGAUCAAGUGAAAAUAUGCUAGAAAUCAGCCAGCACACAAUGUAAGCAGCGAUAAAAUGUUGACUCAAUAUGUUCUGUCUAAAUUUGGCCUCAGCUGUAGUCAAAAUUCUUUGAUUCUCCCGCUCCAGGGGGCUUCAAAUCCUUUCAUUCUAUCAACUUUUCAGAGUCUCUAAUCCACUAUUUCUCCUCACUUCCCAUCUUCCCAGUUAAGAAGCCAUAGUCAAGCAUCAUCUCUCCUUUGCACAUAGCGGUCUGUUUCUUGCCCUUCUCCAACUUUGAUACAAAGUUUGACAAAAUCACAUUCUGACAAAAUUCAACAUUUCGCCUCCUCCAUGUCUGCACCCAUGAAGCUGAAAGUGCCUUAAAAAAAAAGCUCAUGUUGUUCCUAGUUGGUUUCACUUUAAGUUCAUAUCUAGGAAUUUCAAAGUGAGUCCUUCAUGCCAC